rnacentral:rRNA from 1 species
UACGAAGGGGGGCUAGCGUUGUUCGGAAUCACUGGGCGUAAAGGGCGCGUAGCGGCGGUUCAAGUCGGGGGUGAAAGCCUGUGGCUCAACCACAGAAUGGCCUUCGAUACUGGACGGCUCGAGACCGGAAGAGGUCAGUGGAACUGCGAGUGUAGAGGUGAAAUUCGUAGAUAUUCGCAAGAACACCAGUGGCGAAGGCGGCUGACUGGUCCGGUUCUGACGCUGAGGCGCGAAAGCGUGGGGAGCAAACAGG